UCGUGCCGGGAUUCGAACCCCGGACAACUGACAUGCGAAGCGAGCGUGUUCCCGCCACUCCACCAACGCACG
rnacentral:tRNA from 11 species